rnacentral:pre_miRNA from 1 species
GUUCUACUCCCUCCGUUCCGAAUUACUUGUCACAGAUAUGGAUGUAUCUAGAUGUAUUUUAGUUUUAGAUACAUCCAUUUCUGUGAUGAGUAAUUUGAAAUGGAGGGAGUACAAG